rnacentral:lncRNA from 1 species
UCUUAAAUCAUCUUUCUCUUCUGCUUUAUUACAAUUUUAAGAAUUAUGCUUGGGUUAGCUUUUCUAAACCUUGAUGGUUUGAACAAUGAAUUUUGCUGAUAAUUUAUUACUAUAUUACAUAUAAGUUUGUCUGGUUCUUUGGACCGACACUGCAACCUUUGUCAACUCUGUCAUUUUAACUCUUGCGUUCCAAAUAUAGAUAAAUUACUUAAUCGAGUUAUUUCGAACUGGAAAAAUAGGUGCAUUUUGAAACAACAGGCCCUGAGAUAUGGGAGGAUACUCUUGGUAAAGUUGACAUCUUCGUAAUGGGAAUAGGGAGUGGUGGUACUGUUUCUGGUGUUGGACAGUACCUCAAAUCCCAAAAUCCUAAUGUUCAGGUAAUUAACUGCUAUGUCUUUCCUACCUUACUCUUUGUAAUAACCAUAACCUUUGUUCAUUGUGUUUCAUUUCAUUGCUGAUGAUUUCUUUUUUAAUGUUAGAUAUACGGAGUGGAGCCUGCUGAAAGUAAUGUAUUAAAUGGUGGCAAACCAGGUAAACUUGCUGUUAAUAUUAUUUCUACUAUUCUUGAAAUUUCUAAUUCUUUUAUCUUUUAUCUUUUAUCAACUCUGUAAACUGAUGAAGUAAACAAUUACCCCGGAAACGGUAUAUAGUAAAGAUAAUGACUUCAUUUAACAUAAGUCUUUGUCAUAGAAGUUGCAUUCUUUUCUUAUAUUAUUAAUCAAAACAGGUCCUCAUCAUAUUACUGGUAACGGAGUUGGGUUCAAGCCAGACAUAUUGGACAUGGAUGUAAUGGAGAAAGUUCUCGAGGUAAACAAAAACCCAUGUGUUCUUUUCCUAGGAGGAAUACAUUUUAGGAAAUGGGGAGGGAGGGGUGGCAGAAUAAGGAUCUAGCAUCUUUUGUUGAAUAUCUAGUUCUUCGAGGCUUAUGUUGGGAUAUAUCUUAUGGCAGGUUAGCAGUGAAGAUGCAGUAAAGAUGGCAAGGGAAUUGGCAUUGAAAGAGGGGCUUAUGGUAAUAACCUAAAAUCAUGUCUUGAUUCGCUUUUGUAGAGGCUUCUGUUUAUACAUCAUGAUAUCACAAUCUUGUUCAUGAUUUCACUUGAGAUGAACAGGGUUGGUUUGUCUUUACUACUGUCAGUAUCGGUAAUCUACUACAUGAUUCACUAUAACUCUUUUUUCUUUUUUUCAUUUAGUACUGUUUGCUAGCUUAAAGGAAAAGGAAAGAAUUUUCUUAGAAGCACUGUAAAUCGAUCUUAACGAGUGAUAAACCGGAAUUAUUUCUUUCAAACUAAUAUUGAAUUUUGUGGAACGCAGGUUGGAAUAUCAUCGGGGGCCAACACUGUUGCAGCACUCAGACUUGCAAGAAUGCCUGAGAACAAAGGCAAAUUGAUUGUGGUAAGCACUUUCUUACAAUCUCAUAUGAAGAGAAUACAUAAUUACCAGAAUUAUCUGUUAUAUAGUAUUGUUCUUUGUACAAUAUUCAUGUGAUCUUUACUACAACGUAAGCGUGCUUUGAAUAGCAAUUAUUCUAUUGUCUAGGCAAUUCUAAGUCGAUAAUCAAAGGCUUUAGCUUUGAGAGUAUAUGAUGAAAUUUUGAUACAAGUUCUCACCUAGUUUUCUUUUUUUUGGUUCCGAAAAAAAAAAUCAGACUGUUCAUCCAAGUUUUGGAGAGCGUUACUUGUCAUCGGUCCUGUUCCAAGAACUAAGGAAUGAAGCUGAAAACAUGCAGCCAGUUGCAGUCGACUAAAUGCCUUUUCAGGGGACAUGUUAGGAAGCUCCCUCGGGAAACAAAAGCCCUGUCUGUUAAUACCAAAUGUUUCCACCGAAACAUUGGUAUCCAUUGUUAUUAUGAAUCCGCUGUGCACCCAUUUGUUUUAGUUUCAAUGUUUAACUCUGUCUGAAAUGAAAUCAGUAAUAAUUGGAAUUUGCAUUGAAGCAGACUCUUUUAUCCAUGACUAAAUUCUAAAUAUUCAUUUUAAACAAAUCCAUAAGCAAACUAAAGACAUUGGACCCAAUCAUAAAUUACAAACUUCUCCAGGAAACAACGCUGUUGGUACGAAGACAUGAUAUCGUCUGAAUAUAACUUUUUAAGGAUAUUAUCAGUUGUGUCUUAUUAUCACUUUAAACCCCUUUUGACCUUCACAUAAUCUUCUAAAAACCAGAUCCAAAGUUUCUGUAUGAAUCGUCAAUGACUAAUAUCAGUAAACCAAUCCAUUAUUGUAGUCGAUCAAAAUCGCCAAAAACUAAUUCAAAUCCUUCGUUGUUAAGGAAAUGUGUCAUAUGGUAGUAGCAAUAAACCUUACAACGGUGAGGAACUUGAAGAACAUCCAAGAUAAUGGAUGGGUUAUGGAGACUGAAAUAUACCUUCACAUCACAGCCACUUAGAACUUUUCCUGGAUAAAAGAUGUUCAUAAAUUUGGCUGUUUCAAAGUCCCCCACUUUGUUUAGACUUUAGACCCAAGAAAAAGGGCCUCCGAAUGGACUUGCUUUCUUUUUAAGAAUGAAGCCAUGUUUUGACUGCUACAAGUGUCUCAACGAACAGUGCAAAAAAAAAAAAAGUCUUAUUAUUUGGAUUGGAUUGAUGAUCACUAUUUUAGAAAGAGUUUAGAAUUGUUUUUUUCUUUAAAUACAAAUGGUGACUAAAGUAUUAAGUUUUUAAAUAUGAUAAUUUGCAUUGCAAUCCACAUGUAUUUCUUGUUAAUUUUUUUAAAUUUUAUAAACUUAUAUAUAUUUUUUGAAUUUUGAUUGUUUUAAUUUUUGAUUUUUUUAAAUUUAAAAUUAUUUGUUGACAUUACAUAUAAAACAAAUAAUGUCAUGUUAAGUGUGAAGUACACUUGGAUUGCCACUUGCCAUGCUAGUUAGCACGACCGGGGGUGAAGUCAGAAAACUUUUUUGGGAGACCGAAAUCAAAUUGUAUAUUUUUACGAUAGUAAAAAUGCAAUUUCAUCCUUUUAAUAGCCUAUAUCUUUAUAGUUUUUAAAGGAUUAAAUCAAAUUUUUAUCAUUUUUGAGGAGCCAAAGUGUAAUUUUAUCAUUUCUAAUUUAAAAUUUUAUAAAUUAUAAAAAGAUCUAAAUAAAUUUUUUUUUAUUUUAGGGGGCCAAGGCCCUUGCCUGCACUCCUCGCUUUGCUACUAGGCACAACAAGAUCAUUAAAUAAUAAUAUUUUAAUCAAAAUUUUUGUUAAAAAAUGAUUUGACCAUUUUCUAAAUGCUAAUAGUCAAAUUUAGCUCAAAAAUUAAACUUUAAUGACAAAUUUUGCCACUAACAUUUACAUGUUUUGUCAAAAUAACCCUAAUUAUAUUUUUGAGUCUUUUUUUGGCCGUUAACCUUAGGUUUUUUUUUUCAAACUGCUUUUUCAAACAAAUUUAAUUAAAGUACCAUUAUAAAACUUAAUGUGGAUGAUGUGGAAUAUUUUUAAUGACAUGUAAUUUAUUACUUAGGUAACCCGAUAAGAUAAUUACAUGUGAAAAAUAAUAAAAUAAAUAAAUCAUACAUGAAAUUAAAAAAUAACUCUUAAUUUAAAGAAAAUAAACUUAAUUAUCUAAAAAAAGGUUUUAAAAUGAAUGCAUACAUUUGUUUACAAAGAUGUUUUAAAAAAGAUAAUUAAUAAAUCAAACCGAAAAUACUAAAUAUGUGUAUUAAUUUAAACUUUUUGUAGAUAAUUACGCUUAUUUUUUUAAAUUAAGAGUUUUUUUAACUUUAUAAAUUAUUUAUUUAUUUUUAUUAUUUUUCACAUGUAAUUAUUUUAUUGGGUUAUCUAAGUAAUAAAUCACAACUCAUUAAAUGUAUGAAAUUCCACGUCAUCCCGUUAACUUUUUUAACUGUACUUUCUCAAAUCUGUUAAAAGAACAAUUUGGAAAAAUUAAUAAAGGUUGAUGGUAAAAAAAUACUAAAAAUUAAAUUAAGGUCAUUUUAACAAAAUAUGUAAAUAUUAUUGGCCAAAUUUGUUAUUAAGCCAAAAAUUAAAAAUCAAUUUAACAAAAAUAUAAACGGAUUGAAUUUGACCUUAACAUUUUAGAAAAUCAUCACCAAUCCAAAUUGGUUCGCUUCGUUUUUUUUUUUUUUAUUUCACUAAUUUAUGUGUAAAAUAUUUAUUUUUAUAUUUAAAAAAUAUAGAAAUCAAAACAUAAUUGUAAAAUUCAAUUCACAUAAUAACGAUUGUUUUUUUUACGAACAGAAUUGCUUUUCAGUUUUCUUGAUAUUAUUCAUUGAUCUCUUCCUUUUAUAAUGAAUUAAUAAAUUUAAAGUGACUCGAAAACAUAAGCCGACCUUAGCUCAGUUGGUAGAGCGGAGGACUGUAGUUGUGAAAGCUGUUAUCCUUAGGUCGCUGGUUCGAAUCCGGCAGGUCGGAUUAUUUUCCUUCUUUUUACUUGUCAGUUCCUAUCCGAGAUCAAUUUAAUUCUCUCCAUUAUCAAUUUUAUCAAAUAAAUGAAGUCCGAAUUUUACUAGGUAAAGUUAGUUUUAAUUUUUCUACUAAAAAUUGUUUUAAAUAUUCAUGUAUUAUGUGGCUGAAAAAUUCAAUCCUGUAAUUUUCUUUCAACCACACAAUAGUAUAUACAUUUGGAGAUAACUGGAUUUUUUUAAUGGGCUGAAUUGGAUAAUAAAUUAAUUAAUUAGGUACAAAUUAUAAUGAUUAAAUAAAUUUAAAACAAUUUUUAAUAGAAAAUUAGAAUAAACUUUACAUAAUACUCAUAGUGGACAAGUUAAAAUCCUGAAAAUAAUAUAACACAUGAUAUAUAUUAUUAACAAAGCAAUCCAUCAAACACAAAAAUAGCGUCGCAUAACCUCAGUAUUCAGACAAACAUAGCAACUACUUAUUUACUUCAAUGGAUCAAUAUAUGAAUUCGGCUACGCAGUUCGUGGUGCAAACUUCACUUCCAACCCAAAAUGUGAAAGUUAUUCAUUAAGGAGUCUUUGAAAAGACUUAAAAACCUGAAAUGGUAAACAGGGCGCACCUCAUCAGUAUAACGAGCCGCAUCAGACUGUGUUUUACAGAAAUACAUCUGACGAAGCAUUUUUGUCAAGUGAUGCGCGAGUUUCGGGUGCUAAAUUUGACAAAAAGUAGUAAAAAUGAUUUUAAGGUGAUAAUUGAAGGGAAGAAAUACCUCGCAGCUCAGUUCUGCAUUUAGUGUAGCAGAGUUUCUUCAAAACUUCCAUUAAUGGCUGCUCUAAUGAGCUUCCUUACGAAAAGAUGUUUAACAUACAACGAGCUGAUGAUGACAAGGAGGCUGGUGUCCACCGAACCCAUCAUUGAUUCUCCUUCUUUUGCUCAAAGACUUGGAGAUCUUCCUACAGAUCUUCUUGAUACUAAAAUUAAGAGCGAAGUUUACCAGGUAGUCUCAUUCACAAUUGUUUGCAAUUAAUUAUUUUUGUUUUUUCCCCCUUCCUUUUGGUUUUUGACCUUUUCAAGGUUGUUUUUUCAUUAAAGAUUAGCGUAUUCCCAAUAUCCCAUGAUCUGAGAAGGUUGUUGGAUGCUUAAUCAUUUUUAAUUUCUUUUUAUGCAAUCUUCUUCUCUUUUGGGUUUUCCCAUUUGUUUUGUUCUAAACAAUUCUUAAAAAUGGAUUUUUUUUUUCUUUUUAAACAGAUCGUUUAGCAAGUUUGUCGUGUAGAACAUAGUUACUUCACUGAAUUGCCUUUUAAAGUUUAAACAAUUCCUAUAUCUGUUGGUUUUGCUUUGCAUUCUAAAUAUUUAUUUACUUGAAGUAGUGAAUUAGUAGCUCUGCUAAUAAAAUUCUGUCUUAUUUCCUUUAAAAAUGUAAAAAAUCCAAGUACCAUCAUCUUCUUUUUUUUUUCAUUUCAAAGUGAAACAUAAUGUAAAAAGUGCAAGGAUUAUCUUGGUGAAGACAUUCAAUGAAGUGAGCAUGCAUGGGGUAAAUUGGAAGUUCAAGGAUGGCUAAGCUGUGAUUAACAGUAAAAAGUCUGUAUAAUCUGCUAAUUAAUUAGGCUUUGCAAAAAAGAAAUAAAACUAAAAGAAAAUGAUAAGAUGUUCAGUGACGAUUAUCUUAAGAUUCUGCCAAAAAUCGGUAUGUGGAUGGUCAACACCAGAGCAUGCUUAAUUCAUAAGAGGAAUAGUCGUCUCCCUGUUUAUCUCUUAAAAAUUUGAAAUUCUUGUUUAAAUGAAGUUCAUCCUUUAUAUGAGAAUUGGUUCUUACAUGUUUCAGUUAAUUGGAAGAACACCUCUUGUUUUUCUUAAUAAAGUAACUGAAGGCUGUGGUGCAUACAUAGCUGUGAAGCAGGAGAUGAUGAUGCCCACUGCUAGCAUUAAAGACAGGGACUAGUUGCUUCCGAGCCCUUCAUGGCAUUUGGAACUUUAUGAUUUAGUAUUAGUUUGAAGUUUUAGAGAAGUAGAGUUUGUGAUACAAGGCCAAAUCGAAACUAAUACACACUUCUAUAUCAACAGACCAGCAUUCUCCAUGAUUACCGAUGCAGAAAAGAAAAACUUAAUUUCUCCCGGAAAGGUUUGGCUUUUGCCGAAGGGCAUCAUUAAAUUGUUGAUGGAAACUGUGAAUUCCUAUAUGAUUUGAACUUUGAUGUUGAGUGGCUUUAAUUUCUACCCCCUAAUACAUUUUUCAACUUUAUGUUAGACAACUCUGAUAGAGCCGACAUCAGGUAACAUGGGGAUAAGUAUGGCAUUCAUGGCAGCCACGAAAGGUUAUAAGAUGGUUCUAACUAUGCCUUCUUACACAAGCUUGGAGAGAAGAGUCACCAUGAGGGCAUUUGGAGCUGGUUUGGUUCUCACAGAUCCCACGAAAGGGAUGGAAGGAACUGUGAAGAAGGCUAAUGAACUUUUGGAGUCCACACCGAAUGCUUUCAUGUUGCAACAAUUCUCAAAUCCUGCCAACACUCAGGUACACUCUUAUAUCAUAUUUUAAUUCUGCUUCACUAAGAAUUAUACUUGGGUUAGCUUUUCUAAACCAUAUGCUGAUAAUUACUAGAUAUAAGUUUGUCUAGUUCUUUGGACUGACACUGCAACCUUGCUCAACUCUGUGUUUAACUCUUGCUUUCCAAAUAUAGAUAAAUUACUAAAUCGAGUUAUUUCGAACUGGAAAAAUAGGCGCAUUUUGAAACAACAGGCCCUGAGAUAUGGGAAGAUACUCUUGGUAAAGUUGACAUCUUUGUAAUGGGAAUAGGGAGUGGUGGUACUGUUUCUGGUGUCGGACAGUACCUCAAAUCCCAAAAUCCUAAUGUU